CAUGUUUUAUAUAUGAUGAAGGAGACCUUUAUUAUGUUGGCAAAGGUGACACAUCAGGCAUCAGACAUAGAGUUAUUUAGGAUGUAGAGGAUAUGUCUGGUACAAGAUGACACAGGAUGUAAAAGAAUAUUCACAGAAAUAUUGGAGAUUGAAGCGUGUGAUGCAUACCAAAGACAAAGUAAGAUAAAGACUCAGAGCCCAGAGCUUAAGCCAGUGAGCCAGUCAGUGAGCCUCUGGAAUUAG
rnacentral:misc_RNA from 1 species